rnacentral:tRNA from 1 species
AAGAUUUUAGCUUAAUUAAAGUAUCUGGGUUGCAUUCAGAAGAUGUGAGAUAGAGUCUUGCAAAUCUUA